AUACGUAGGGUGCGAGCGUUGUCCGGAAUUACUGGGCGUAAAGGGCGUGUAGGCGGUCUUGCAAGUCAGAAGUGAAAUUCCUGAGCUCAACUCGGGCGCUGCUUCUGAAACUGCAGGACUUGAGUGCUGGAGGGGAUAGCGGAAUUCCUAGUGGAGCGGUAAAAUGCGCAGAUAUUAGGAAGAACACCGGUGGCGAAGGCGGCUAUCUGGACAGUAACUGACGCUGAGGCGCGAAAGCGUGGGGAGCAAACAGGAUUAGAUACCCUGGUAGUCCACGCUGUAAACGAUGAAUACUAGGUGUGGGGGGACUGACCCCCUCCGUGCCGCAGUUAACACAAUAAGUAUUCCACCUGGGGAGUACGAUCGCAAGAUUGAAACUCAAAUGAAUUGGCGGGG
rnacentral:rRNA from 1 species